GUCUCUCUAGUAUCUCUUUUGAGCUUUUUACAAAUUUUUCUGUUUAUUUUACUGCUUAUACUUCUUUUUAUUUUGUUUGUUUAAGUCCUAACUAUGUCUAUGAAUAGGGUCCCAAUCAAAAUUCAGUAACCUAAUUUUGAAACGAAAGGGGGAAAACUAUGUACGUAGCAAACAAAAUGCAAAUCAAUCAGUCCCACCUUCUAUUUCAAUUAUUAAUAAGAGCAAACUUGGUGACCCUAAAACUGAGACAAACGACAUUUUUGUUUUUUCAAAUUGCCCGUUAAACAUAUUGACGGGUUUUUUAUUGGACCGACGAUGACUUAGUAGCACAUAAGUUGCCCGUUUUGGCAUGCUAUUUUAGGC